rnacentral:rRNA from 1 species
UACGUAGGGGGCAAGCGUUUGUCCGGAUUUAUUGGGCGUAAAGAGCGUGUAGGCGGUCAAACAGGUCCACUGUGAAAACUCGAGGCUCAACCUCGAGAGGUCGGUGGAAACCGUAUGGCUAGAGUCCGGAAGAGGAGAGUGGAAUUCCCGGUGUAGCGGUGAAAAUGCGCAGAUAUCGGGGAAAGAACACCCCGUGGCGAAGGCGGCUCUCUGGGACGGUACUGACGCUGAGACGCGAAACGUGGGGAGCGAACAGG